GACGAACGCUGGCGGCGUGCUUAACACAUGCAAGUCGAACGGUGAAAGCGGAGCUUGCUCCGCUGGAUCAGUGGCGAACGGGCGAGUAACACGUGGGCAACCUGCCCCUCACUCUGGGAUAACUCCGGGCAACCGGGGCCAAUACCGGAGAUGAACUGGUGCGGCAUCACACCAGGUGGAAAGAAGUUCGGUGUGGGAUGGGCCCGCGGCCUAUCAGCUAGUUGGUGGGGUAACGGCCCACCAAGGCGAAGGCGGGUAGCCGGCCUGAGAGGGCGACCGGCCACACUGGGACUGAGACACGGCCCAGACUCCUACGGGAGGCAGCAGUGGGGAAUAUUGCGCAAUGGGCGAAAGCCUGACGCAGCGACGCAGCGUGAGGGACGACGGCCUUCGGGUUGUAAACCUCUUUCAGCGGGGACGAAGCGAAAGUGACGGUACCCGCAGAAGAAGCACCGGCUAACUACGUGCCAGCCGCCGCCGUAAUAC
rnacentral:rRNA from 1 species